UUCACAAUGUAAGUCAUUCUAGCAUUUCCCACAUUCAUAUUGAUGUUAAUGAAUGUCAUUAACAUCAAUAUGAAUGUGGGAAAUGCUAGAAUGACUUACAUUGUGAAACG
rnacentral:misc_RNA from 1 species